ACAAAUAGUCCUGGGCUUGCUGGGCCGCCAGAACUGGUGUUGGCCUGGAAGCCCACGGCAGCAGGAGGGAGGCUGUACCCAGCAUGCCUGAGAAGUGAUGCCUCCUCUCUGUGGGCUGGGCUGCUCCACAGCACACGAGCCUGGGCACCAGAUGCGGAACCUGGGUAAGGGAAUGACUUGGAGUCAUCUAAAAGAGCUCUGGUCCAAGAAAGUGGACUGCUGGAGUCAGGAAUGCUCAGCAGUAAGAGUUGUGGGAAUUUCCAAGAGCCGAUGUUGAGGAGGGGAGUCCAGCAUGGGUGGAUGAAGGAGUGGCGCCCCGAAGCAGGGAAGCUCAGCAAGGGAGACUGACAAACCAACUCAAGUUCCCAUGAAGGAAAGAAUCUGCUAGAAGCAUCUGUCAAGUCCGGAGACUUUGCCUGCCACAUGUCAUGACUGGAAAAUGAAAAUAAUUCCCAGCCUCCCUUGCAGCUAGCAAUGGCCACAUAACAUAGUCCUUGUCAACAACCACUAUCAGAAGUUUCCUGGAGCCCAGAGGGGUGCCUGGCACCUGGAUACAAGACUUAAUAUACUAUCGUGCUGCUCUCAGAAGCUUGAAGAAAGUGAUGGCCCACACACAGUGAAGUAGAAAUGCCAGAAUUGCCACUGCAGACAGUAAACUUCUCCUCUCUAAGACCAAAAGGCUUAGAAUAGCGGGCAUGAAGAAGCUGGAACACCAUGCAAGGGCAGAAAGCCCACCAGCCUACUGGAGUCCACAGGAAGGCUCAGAGGACACUAUGCUUCCUGAACAGGUAAGGAACAAAUUGGUGAGGGCCGCCAGCCAAGCUGAUGGGUCAGUCUGUUAAAAAACUGGGAUCCUUGAUAGCAAUGGGGAUGAUAAAAUCCUGAAUAAUAGACUCCAGGUGGUGCAAUGUUCUCUAAGAGCAACAGAGUAGAAUAGCUGCCUUGGGGGUGUGGUAUAUAGAGAGCCAUGGAAAUGAGUAAUGGAACGUGGUGUCUGGCAACAAGAGAGAUGGGUUACCAGCAAGAGUAUGGUUCAGUUGAAGCAAGUAAGAGAAAUCAAGGAUAGCUUAUCAGGAGACCGAAGGCACCUGCCUCAAUAAAAAAUCGUAAUUCCCAGGGCGCCUGAGUAGCCCAGUCGGUUAAGUGUCUGCCUUCGGCUCAGGUCAUGAUCCCGGGGUCCUGGGACUGAGUCCUGCAUCGGAG